AAGUAAAAGUCGUAACAAGGUCUCCGUUGGUGAACCAGCGGAGGGAUCAUUACCGAGUUUACAACUCCCAAACCCCUGUGAACAUACCUAUACGUUGCCUCGGCGGAUCAGCCCGCGCCCUGUAAAAAGGGACGGCCCGCCCGAGGACCCUAAACUCUGUUUUUAGUGGAACUUCUGAGUAAAACAAACAAAUAAAUCAAAACUUUCAACAACGGAUCUCUUGGUUCUGGCAUCGAUGAAGAACGCAGCAAAAUGCGAUAAGUAAUGUGAAUUGCAGAAUUCAGUGAAUCAUCGAAUCUUUGAACGCACAUUGCGCCCGCCAGUAUUCUGGCGGGCAUGCCUGUUCGAGCGUCAUUUCAACCCUCAAGCUCAGCUUGGUGUUGGGACUCGCGGUAACCCGCGUUCCCCAAAUCGAUUGGCGGUCACGUCGAGCUUCCAUAGCGUAGUAAUCAUACACCUCGUUACUGGUAAUCGUCGCGGCCACGCCGUAAAACCCCAACUUCUGAAUGUUGACCUCGGAUCAGGUAGGAAUACCCGCUG
rnacentral:rRNA from 1 species